rnacentral:rRNA from 1 species
UCUUGACGGUACCUAAUCAGAAAGCCACGGCUAACUACGUGCCAGCAGCCGCGGUAAUACGUAGGUGGCAAGCGUUCUCCGGAAUUAUUGGGCGUAAAGCGCGCGUAGGCGGUUUUUUAAGUCUGAUGUGAAAGCCCACGGCUCAACCGUGGAGGGUCAUUGGAAACUGGAAAACUUGAGUGCAGAAGAGGAAAGUGGAAUUCCAUGUGUAGCGGUGAAAUGCGCAGAGAUAUGGAGGAACACCAGUGGCGAAGGCGACUUUCUGGUCUGUAACUGACGCUGAUGUGCGAAAGCGUGGGGAUCAAACAGGAUUAGAUACCCUGGUAGUCCACGCCGUAAACGAUGAGUGCUAAGUGUUAGGGGGUUUCCGCCCCUUAGUGCUGCAGCUAACGCAUUAAGCACUCCGCCUGGGGAGUACGACCGCAAGGUUGAAACUCAAAGGAAUUGACGGGGGCCCGCACAAGCGGUGGAGCAUGUGGUGUAAUGCGAAGCAACGCGAAGAUCCUUACCAAAUCUUGGCAUCCUGUGACAACUCUAGAGAUAGAGCCUUCCCCUUCGGGGGACAAAGUGACAGGUGGUGAUGGUUGUCGUCAGGUCGUCGUGAUGAGAUGUUGGGUUAAGUCCCGCAACGAGCGCAACCCUU